rnacentral:rRNA from 1 species
AUUGAACGCUGGCGGCAUGCUUUACACAUGCAAGUCGGACGGCAGCACAGAGAAGCUUGCUUCUUGGGUGGCGAGUGGCGAACGGGUGAGUAACAUAUCGGAACGUACCGAGCAGUGGGGGAUAACUAAUCGAAAGAUUAGCUAAUACCGCAUAUCUUCUGAGGAAGAAAGCAGGGGACCAUUUGGCCUUGCGCUGUUUGAGCGGCCGAUAUCUGAUUAGCUAGUUGGUGGGGUAAAGGCCUACCAAGGCGACGAUCAGUAGCGGGUUGAGAGGAUGAUCCGCCACACUGGGACUGAGACACGGCCCAGACUCCUACGGGAGGCAGCAGUGGGGAAUUUUGGACAAUGGGCGCAAGCCUGAUCCACGCCAUGCCGCGUGUCUGAAGAAGGCCUUCGGGUUGUAAAGGACUUUUGUCAGGGAAGAAAAGGGCGGGGUUAAUACCCCUGUCUGAUGACGGUACCUGAAGAAUAAGCACCGGCUAACUACGUGCCAGCAGCCGCGGUAAUACGUAGGGUGCGAGCGUUAAUCGGAAUUACUGGGCGUAAAGCGGGCGCAGACGGUUACUUAAGCAGGAUGUGAAAUCCCCGGGCUCAACCUGGGAACUGCGUUCUGAACUGGGUGACUAGAGUGUGUCAGAGGGAGGUAGAAUUCCACGUGUAGCAGUGAAAUGCGUAGAGAUGUGGAGGAAUACCGAUGGCGAAGGCAGCCUCCUGGGAUAACACUGACGUUCAUGCCCGAAAGCGUGGGUAGCAAACAGGAUUAGAUACCCUGGUAGUCCACGCCCUAAACGAUGUCGAUUAGCUGUUGGGCAGCAUGACUGCUUAGUAGCGAAGCUAACGCGUGAAAUCGACCGCCUGGGGAGUACGGUCGCAAGAUUAAAACUCAAAGGAAUUGACGGGGACCCGCACAAGCGGUGGAUGAUGUGGAUUAAUUCGAUGCAACGCGAAGAACCUUACCUGGUCUUGACAUGUACGGAACCCUCCAGAGACGGAGGGGUGCCUUCGGGAGCCGUAACACAGGUGCUGCACGGCUGU